rnacentral:rRNA from 1 species
CCUACGGGGAGCAGUAGUGAGGAAUAUUGGUCAAUGGACGCAAGUCUGAACCAGCCAUGCCGCGUGCAGGAAGACGGCUCUAUGAGUUGUAAACUGCUUUUGUACGAGGGUAAAUACCGAUACGUGUAUCGGGUUGAAAGUAUCGUACGAAUAAGGAUCGGCUAACUCCGUGCCAGCAGCCGCGGUAAUACGGAGGAUUCAAGCGUUAUCCGGAUUUAUUGGGUUUAAAGGGUGCGCAGGCGGAGGUGCAAGUCAGCGGUAAAAUUGCGGGGCUCAACCCCGUACUGCCGUUGAAACUGCAUCCCUUGAGUGCGCGAGAGGUAUGCGGAAGGCGUGGUGUAGCGGUGAAAUGCAUAGAUAUCACGCAGAACUCCGAUUGCGAAGGCAGCAUACCGGCGCGCAACUGACGCUCAUGCACGAAAGCGUGGGUAGCGAACAGGAUUAGAUACCCCUGUAGUC